rnacentral:rRNA from 1 species
AACGAACGCUGGCGGCAUGCCUAACACAUGCAAGUCGAACGAAGCCUUCGGGCUUAGUGGCGCACGGGUGCGUAACGCGUGGGAAUCUGCCCUUGGGUUCGGAAUAACAGUUAGAAAUGACUGCUAAUACCGAAUGAUGUCUUCGGACCAAAGAUUUAUCGCCCAAGGAUGAGCCCGCGUCGGAUUAGCUAGUUGGUGAGGUAAAGGCUCACCAAGGCGACGAUCCGUAGCUGGUCUGAGAGGAUGAUCAGCCACACUGGGACUGAGACACGGCCCAGACUCCUACGGGAGGCAGCAGUGGGGAAUAUUGGACAAUGGGCGAAAGCCUGAUCCAGCAAUGCCGCGUGAGUGAUGAAGGCCUUAGGGUUGUAAAGCUCUUUUACCCGGGAUGAUAAUGACAGUACCGGGAGAAUAAGCCCCGGCUAACUCCGUGCCAGCAGCCGCGGU